CUACGGGACGCAGCAGUGAGGAAUUUUGGACAAUGGGGGAAACCCUGAUCCAGCGACGCCGCGUGGAGGACGAAGGUCUUCGGAUUGUAAACUCCUUUUGUCUGGGAACAAAAAGCUUAUAGAAAUAUAGGAACUGAGUGUACCAGAUGAAUAAGCCACGGCUAACUUCCGGCCAGCAGCCGCGGUAAUACGAAGGUGGCAAGCGUUACUCGGAAUGACUAGGCGUAAAGGGCAGGUAGGUGGUUUUGUAAGUCUGUUGUGAAAGCUCCUGGCUCAACUGGGAGAGGUCAACAGAUACUGCAAGGCUUGAGUAUAGGAGAGGUUACUGGAAUUGCUGGUGUAGCGGUGAAAUGCGCAGAGAUCAGGAGGAACACCAAUGGCGAAAGCAAGUAACUGGACUAUUACUGACACUCAGCUGCGAAAGCUAGGGGAGCAAACAGGAUUAGAUACCCCGGUAGUC
rnacentral:rRNA from 1 species